AGCAGGCAGGCGUGCACAAAGCAAUGUUCACUGAAGUCUAAAAGCGUUCGGCCAAGGAAAACUGACAAGACAGACUAAUGAACCGUAGAGACGGGAAGAAAAUAGCCAGCAUUUGCUAGAUUUCAAACCCUCUCUGUCUUCCCCGGACCACCUAUCUCGGAUUUUAUUAUUAUUUUUGUGUACGGCUCCAGCCGUCCCUUUUCUAAGCCACCAGAAGCCGGCGAUUCACGGAUAACACUUCUAUUAUUGUAAAGGGUAAAUAAAAUAAAGACAAAAAUUAAAAGCGACAAGAACCAGGUCGAGUUUGCAGGCGACGCUUUUACAAGCUCAUCUCGCCAGGUCGAAUCCGGGAGCAAGCCUUAAUGAAGCAAUAAUAGCCGCAUUAUUCAAAAAUUUUCAUUUCGAUGGAAAUUUAUCUAAAAGGGACUUAAUCAUAUGCAAAUAAUAAAAGGAGGCGUAGUGACCCGGCGAGCGCUCUGCAUACAGAUCUCAACGCGCGGCACUGCGGGACCGUACCUGAUCGCCGGUGAUUUCAUCGCAAACCCUUUCCAAAGGGGGAUGAGGAGAGGAAAAGGGAUUAAAACAACAACAACAACGACAAAACCACCAAGAAAACAAAACGAUGCUCAGUGCUGAGAUACGCUGCAGGCACCCGAGCCGUACCUGCGCCGCCCGCACAAACGGGGCAGAUUUUAGCGCAUUUCCUACGGGGAGAAAAGGGACUGAGUGCCGAUGACGGGGAGGCAGCCCUCGCUCCGCUCGGGUGGCACCGCACCGCGGACGCAGCGCCGUUGCGGGGCCGCAGCGCUUUCUCCUCCCGGAGGUGCGCGGUCGUUGCCGGUGGCCAAACCCAGAAGCCGGCCCCGGCGCCCGGCUCUGCUUUGUCUCUGCGAAACGUUACGGGACAGCCCCGUGCCCUCGGCCUGACCCCCGGUGAUGGCUCUUCAGAUAGAAAUAAAUAAAGCGACAAACAAACAAGCGAAUAAAUAAAACAAACCCCAUCCCGA